UACGUAGGGUGCAAGCGUUGUCCGGAAUUAUUGGGCGUAAAGAGCUCGUAGGCGGUCUGUCGCGUCGGCUGUGAAAACUCGGGGCUCAACCCCGAGCCUGCAGUCGAUACGGGCAGACUAGAGUGCUGUAGGGGAGACUGGAAUUCCUGGUGUAGCGGUGAAAUGCGCAGAUAUCAGGAGGAACACCGGUGGCGAAGGCGGGUCUCUGGGCAGUAACUGACGCUGAGGAACGAAAGCGUGGGUAGCAAACAGG
rnacentral:rRNA from 1 species